rnacentral:tRNA from 1 species
GCCCGGGUGGGGUAGUGGUCAUCCUGGGGGCCUGUGGAGCCCCUGAGCCGGGUUCGAUACACCAAAUAUUUCGGUGCGAAAAUCCCGGCCCGGGCCCCA